UACGGAGGGUGCGAGCGUUGUCCGGAAUCACUGGGCGUAAAGGGCGCGUAGGUGGCCUUCUAAGUCGAACGUGAAAUCCCUGGGCUCAACCCAGGAACUGCGUCCGAGACUGGGAGGCUUGAAUCCGGGAGAGGGAUGCGGAAUUCCAGGUGUAGCGGUGAAAUGCGUAGAUAUCUGGAGGAACACCGGUGGCGAAGGCGGCAUCCUGGACCGGUAUUGACACUGAGGCGCGAAAGCCAGGGGAGCAAACGGG
rnacentral:rRNA from 1 species